rnacentral:rRNA from 1 species
UACGAAGGGUGCAAACGUUGCUCGGAAUUAUUGGGCGUAAAGCGCACGUAGGCGGCUUUGCAAGUCGGGAUGUGAAAUCCCUCGGCUUAACCAAGGAAGUGCAUCCGAAACUGCAGAGCUUGAGUACUUAAGAGGAUCGCGGAAUUCCCGGUGUAGAGGUGAAAUUCGUAGAUAUCGGGAGGAACACCAGUGGCGAAGGCGGCGAUCUGGGAAGAUACUGACGCUGAGGUGCGAAAGCGUGGGGAGCGAACAGG